rnacentral:rRNA from 1 species
AGUGGCGAACGGGUGAGUAAUAUAUCGGAACGUGCCCAGUCGUGGGGGAUAACGUAGCGAAAGUUACGCUAAUACCACAUACGAUCUACGGAUGAAAGCGGGGGACCGUAAGGCCUCGCGCGAUUGGAGCGGCCGAUAUCAGAUUAGGUAGUUGGUGGGGUAAAGGCUCACCAAGCCAACGAUCUGUAGCUGGUCUGAGAGGACGACCAGCCACACUGGAACUGAGACACGGUCCAGACUCCUACGGGAGGCAGCAGUGGGGAAUUUUGGACAAUGGACGCAAGUCUGAUCCAGCCAUUCCGCGUGCAGGAUGAAGGCCCUUGGGUUGUAAACUGCUUUUGUACGGAACGAAAGGGUUUCCAUUAAUACUGGGAGCUCAUGACGGUACCGUAAGAAUAAGCACCGGCUAACUACGUGCCAGCAGCCGCGGUAAUACGUAGGGUGCAAGCGUUAAUCGGAAUUACUGGGCGUAAAGCGUGCGCAGGCGGUUAUGUAAGACAGAGGUGAAAUCCCCGGGCUCAACCUGGGAACUGCCUUUGUGACUGCAUAGCUAGAGUACGGUAGAGGGGGAUGGAAUUCCGCGUGUAGCAGUGAAAUGCGUAGAUAUGCGGAGGAACACCGAUGGCGAAGGCAAUCCCCUGGACCUGUACUGACGCUCAUGCACGAAAGCGUGGGGAGCAAACAGGAUUAGAUACCCUGG